AGUAACACGUGGGUUACCUGCCCCGAUGAUUGGGACAACCCGAGGAAACUCGGGCUAAUACCAAAUGUGCUCCUGGUCGUGAUGGCCAGGUGGAAAGGAAGCUUCGGCCUCCGCAUCGGGAUGGGCCCGCGGCCCAUUAGCUAGUUGGUGGGGUAACGGCCUACCAAGGCGACGAUCGGUAGCUGGGCUGAGAGGCCGAACAGCCACACUGGGACUGAGACACGGCCCAG
rnacentral:rRNA from 1 species